UACGUAGGGUGCGAGCGUUAAUCGGAAUUACUGGGCGUAAAGCGUGCGCAGGCGGUUGUGUAAGACAGAUGUGAAAUCCCCGGGCUUAACCUGGGAACUGCAUUUGUGACUGCACGGCUUGAGUGCGGCAGAGGGGGAUGGAAUUCCGCGUGUAGCAGUGAAAUGCGUAGAUAUGCGGAGGAACACCGAUGGCGAAGGCAAUCCCCUGGGCCUGCACUGACGCUCAUGCACGAAAGCGUGGGGAGCAAACAGG
rnacentral:rRNA from 1 species